UAGUCUCGCACAGAUGCAUAUCAAUAAGCGGAGGAAAAGAAACUAACAAGGAUUCCCUUAGUAACGGCGAGUGAAGCGGGAAGAGCUCAAAUUUGAAAUCUUCAAGGUUUUACCUUGACGAAUUGUAGUUUAAAGAAGUGUUUUCUGUUGAAGUUUUGGUAAAAGUUCUUUGGAAUAGGACAUCAUAGAGGGUGAGAAUCCCGUAUUUGACCAUUAUUUUCAGCUGUGUGAUACACUUUCAAAGAGUCGGAUUGUUUGGGAAUGCAGUCCAAAAUGGGUGGUAAAUUUCAUCUAAAGCUAAAUAUUGGCGAGAGACCGAUAGCGAACAAGUACCGUGAGGGAAAGAUGAAAAGAACUUUGAAAAGAGAGUUAAACAGUACGUGAAAUUGUCAAAAGGGAAGCGUUUGACACCAGUGUUGUUUUCUCGAAAAUCAAUUAAAAAGAGUUAGAUUUUGUUGUGUAUUGACCUUAACAGCUUGCAUUUCAAUUUUCUUGCUUUUUUUAAUGCACUUUUCGUUUAACAAGUCAACAUCAGUUCCUUUUGUUGUAAAAAGGUCAUUGGAAGGCUGGCUUUCUUUUCGGAGAAAGUGUUUAUAGCCUUUGACUCCUGCAAUCGGAGAGACUGAGGUCUGCAGCGUAGAUCCUUCGGGGUUAGAUACAUUUGUGCUAAGUUAUAGCUUUUUAUAGACAACUUGUUGACUAUGAUUAGUCUUGUAGCUUACUCGCUUAUGCUAUUUUACCUACGCUUAGGAUGUUGAGCGCAUGUCUCUCUCU
rnacentral:rRNA from 1 species